rnacentral:tRNA from 1 species
UCCCGAGUAGCUCAGUUAGUAAAGAAUCUGCCUGCAAUGCAGGAGACCCAGAUUCGAUCCCUGGGUCGGGAA